rnacentral:tRNA from 1 species
GGGGGUGUCUGGGGCCUGGUGGCUCUCGUCGUCUUCAAAACGAUCGUGACCCGACGUCGUCGGGUCGGGUGGGUUCGAUUCCCAUACGCUCCCGCCA